UACCAGAUCAAUCCGGGCUCUGGACUGGCCGGCGGAGAAAAGACUUAGCGGCUGAUCCCCGCCCAGGCGAGGGGAGGGACCCCGCUUGCCCGGCCACUCGUGUGUCCGCGCCAGGCUCGCUGCCACGCUGGUAAAAGCAAAAGGACCCAAACCCUGCUUUCCCUGCCCGCGUUCCUGCCCCUGCUUGGCCGCUCGGGCCUCCCAGCGCAGCGGUCUCACCUCCAGCGGACACGAGCUUCACGGGAGGGGCGCUUCCCUAUGAAGAUGCCUCCAGCUGCUCCAGGGAGGCAGCAGGAACAGAUGCCGGCUAGAUCUCAAAACUACUGUAGUGGAGGCUUUUAUUUUGAGGCACAUGCGAUUUUGUAAAAUACUCCCUGAAGAUAACCAGUGAGACACCAUCUCUGGAGAAAGCAUCCUUUUCGGUUUUGAAUGAAGUGGUGGACUGUUUAAGAAUCUGACAAAACCAAGAGUCCUGAAUCUUCUCUUCCAUCCUCCCAUCUAAAAAUGUCCACGUCCUGAAUGGCCAUACAUCACUCUUACUUACCAUAAAGUAUAAAAAAGAGCUGAUGGUAGAGACUUUAAUUCAGAGGAAAGCAAAUAUACAUGCUGUUGACCUGAAGGGAAGAACAAGGCUCAUGUUUUCUCUGGAACAUGAAUCAGAACACAUGGGUGAGCUGCUUCUCCAGAAUGGUACUGAUGUCUCUGCUGCAGAUAACUGUGGACAGAUGGCAUUAGCUUACGCUGCUGCUAGUGAUCAUAGUGGUCAUAGAGAAUUAAUUCUUCAAUAUAUAAAAGAAGAACCUAAAUAUUCUGAAAAUAUCAACCCAAGUCAUCCCACUGAAACUGAUCCUGAUGGUUCCUGUCUUACAUUGAAUGAGCACUACUAUCAGUCUCAUUUAAAGAAUGUCCCAGAAGAAGGAGAAUCAUAUCAAAUUUCUAAUGAAUUGAGGAGAGAGCGUAAACUAUUUAAAGAAUACCUAUUGCUCAGCUGCUCAUUCAUUUGAAAUUAUGGAGCUUUUUCAUAUACUCUCUACUUUGUAUUAUUAUAGAAGGAAAUACUGACACUAGGAAACCAGAAAACAGAACAUUACUUGACAACUGUAAUGCUGAUUGUAAAAAGAAAAAGGUGGUUGAAACCAAUCUUGUAGAACGUCACAGCAUAAAGAACAAUCCAGGGUUUUCUCUUCACAUUAGUUCUCAACUGUUUUUAUAUAUCAUCUAUCAUGUGCACAUAAUGAUGCCAAACAACCUAGAUAUAAUAAAUUUAAGGCCUCGGAUCCUAAUAACAAGGAUAGCAACAGUUGUGGUUUAUGUAUAGAAUCAACAUUUGUAGAAUAUGGUGGGAGUAGUCAAUUCUGUGGUAAGUUAUCAUAUAACAAAAGAAUCAGAAUGCAAGCCAAAAGCACAACUUGAUUAAUAUAAGUUGAAAGAAUUCAUUUAUGAAGGGAAAGUUAUACUUGGUCUGUGGUAUGUUAUGGUAAGUUCCUCCUCUUUCUAAUUCCUCAGGGCUUUGUAAUGAAUGGCCAUUGAAUAUUGUCAAAGACUUUUCCUGCAGCUAUUGAAAUUAACUUAUGAUUUUGCCCUUGAUUCUUUAUCUGGUGUAUUAGUUUCAUUAGUUUUCAUAUAUUAAACCAUUCUUGCAUCCCUUGAAUGAAACCAGCUGGCUCAUGGUGUAUGGUGUGUAUGUGUGUGUGUGUGUGUGUGUGUGUGUGCGUGUGACCCCAGAGACUUAACCAAGGUGUACUCUGCAACUCACCACACCUCCAGUUCCUUUUUUUGUUCACUUUGAGCCCAGGUGUCUAAAUUGCCCAGGUUGACUGAAACUACAAAUCACCUGACUCAACCUCCUGAAAUUUGGGAAUGCAAAAAUACAACACUUUGUCCAGCAGUGUUUGUUGUUUUUAAUGUGAUGUUGAAUAUAUUUUGCAAGUAUUUUAUAAAGAUUUUUAGAUUACAACCCUCAAGGAUAUUGGCCUGAAGUUUUCUUUCCUUGUAGUGUCCUUAUUUUCCUUUUCAAUCAGGGUAAUACUCACUUUGUAGAAUUACUUUGGAAGUGUCUAUCCUUCUCUCUUACAUAUAAUGGUGGAGCAUUGGUAUCAGUUCUUCUUUGAAUAUCUGGUAAAAUUCAGCCUUGUGUUCACCUCUGGUCCUGGAGGCUUUUUAUUACUCCUUCAAUAUAAUUGCCUUUUAUUAGGUUGGAAUUUUGCAUUCCUUUGAUUUAUAUUUUGAGUUGUUUAGAUUCAUAUGUACUGCUUCAUACAUAUAUUCUAUGCUUUCCAUUUUUUACCAUGUCAGUCUUCAUAAUGUUUUUCUAGAUAUUCCUGUUUAUUGAACAAAAAGUUUUCCAGAUAAUUCCCAGUAGUGUUCUGGAUUUCAGUGAUAUCUGUUUUAAUAUUUCUCUUUUGAUUUCUAGGUUUAUUUAUUUGUUUCUUCUUUCUCUUUCC